rnacentral:rRNA from 1 species
GAUGAACGCUGGCGGCGUGCCUAAUACAUGCAAGUCGAACGAAACUUCUUUAUCACCGAGUGCUUGCACUCACCGAUAAAGAGUUGAGUGGCGAACGGGUGAGUAACACGUGGGCAACCUGCCCAAAAGAGGGGGAUAACACUUGGAAACAGGUGCUAAUACCGCAUAACCAUAGUUACCGCAUGGUAACUAUGUAAAAGGUGGCUAUACUACCGCUUUUGGAUGGGCCCGCGGCGCAUUAGCUAGUUGGUAGGGUAAAGGCUUACCAAGGCAAUGAUGCGUAGCCGAAUUGAGAGGUUGAUCGGCCACAUUGGGACUGAGACACGGCCCAAACUCCUACGGGAGGCAGCAGUAGGGAAUCUUCCACAAUGGGCGAAAGCCUGAUGGAGCAACGCCGCGUGGGUGAAGAAGGUCUUCGGAUCGUAAAACCCUGUUGUUAGAGAAGAAAGUGCGUGAGAGUAACUGUUCACGUUUCGACGGCAUCUAACCAGAAAGCCACGGCUAACUACGUG